rnacentral:tmRNA from 1 species
GGGGGUGUACUGGCUUCGACGGGGGUAGCGAGAUGACUUGGUGCAUGCCGAGGGGGCAGCUUUCCUCGUUAAUCCAGCAGCAAACUCAUAGUUGCCAACGACGACAACUACGCUCUCGCCGCUUAAGGCGUAAGCCCCGAACCCACUUG